AUGAAAUCGAAAAUAUUCUGAGAUGGCAAAUAUUCGGAGAUGACUAUGAAAACACCUCUCUGGAUCCUCAAAUUGCAAGAGAGAUUGAGAGGGAUCAAGAAUCCUAAUUCUCGCUAUUUGAAUAUAGGACUUUAG
rnacentral:rRNA from 1 species